CUGGCGGAAGCACCGCCCCUCGACCGUUUAUAGCGCCAGAGAACUGCAGCAACUGUGGCAAGAAGGGGUGGCAAUUUACUAAAUUCUUUUUGUUCCUGUUCGAGUUUUUGUAUAAAGGGAUGUCAGUACAGCUGGGGCCCAUGGCCGAAACAUCUGAAAUUCUCUACUAGGUUCCCCAGACUCACUGAGAGGCUCUACGUUGGUGCUGGGCUCCAGUCUUGAGGCAUCCUUGGGGAAACUACAGUCCCAGCCAUCAACUUCUACCUGCUCCCCUUCACCUGUGACAGUAAGAAGAGAGGGUCAGCCUGUACGUAAGAAGACUGAGGAGGAACGGGUAGAAAAAUGAGUGAUGAUCAAGAUCUCAUUCCAGAGCAUCUGAAAGGUCCAAGAAGAGGUCAAGAUCACAGCCAUGAACAUCAAAGCUGUUUAUAGAAGAGCCAAAAGGAUGGACCACACAACCUAGGUACCAAAGAACAAAGUUCAAAAGACAUUAGGGAACUGGUAAGAUGGCUCAGGUACUUGCCACCAAGUCUGAUAACCGGAGUUCAAUCCCCAGAACCCACGCGGUGGAAGAGAGCCAACUCCUAAAAGUUACUCUCUGACCUCCAUAAGCAUGUGUGUUACUUAUGUGCACAUAUAAUAAAGAGGUGUAAAAAGACAGGUCUCCAUUCAAGAACAUACUGGGGUACAGAGAUGGAAGAGCAAGCAAAUGAAACACCUACAGCUGAGGGAAGACUGAGAGUUCAAACAUGGGGGCAGGGAGAGCGUUAGAGGUAUGAGAGAGAGCUGACUUACAGCAGGGCACUCACCAGGGAAGAACUCUGUGAAGACCUCCUGCAUCAGAGCCACAACAAGGUUUCGAAGCUGCCGCUCAGCCUCAGACAACUCCCUCAGUUCCACAAGCUUUACCAUCUGUGCCUCCACAUCUGGGACCUCUGCCAGUACUCGGGCCAGCUGGUGACUAUUUGAGUCCGCUCCUUUGAGAGACUUGGAGGCUGGGCUCUGGAACUCCUUCUGUUCUCUUGGCCGGACACGUAGUCCAUGUGCCCCCAGCCUGUGCUUGGGCUGUGAUAAGACAGCCUCCUUUGCACUUAUGUCUCCCAUUUCCACGAUGGCAAACACCCCCUGGAAAACCACACAGGAGCAAGGAUGAUGUUUUGACAAUCAA